rnacentral:rRNA from 1 species
GAUGAACGCUGGCGGCGUGCCUAAUACAUGCAAGUCGAGCGAACAGACGAGGAGCUUGCUCCUCUGACGUUAGCGGCGGACGGGUGAGUAACACGUGGAUAACCUACCUAUAAUACUGGGAUAACUUCGGGAAACCGGAGCUAAUACCGGAUAAUAUAUUGAACCGCAUGGUUCAAUAGUGAAAGACGGUUUUGCUGUCACUUAUCGAUGGAUCCGCGCCGCAUUAGCUAGUUGGUAAGGUAACGGCUUACCAAGGCAACGAUGCGUAGCCGACCUGAGAGGGGGAUCGGCCACACUGGAACUGAGACGCGGUCCAGACUCCUACGGGAGGCAGCAGUAGGGAAUCUUCCGCAAUGGGCGAAAGCCUGACGGAGCAACGCCGCGUGAGUGAUGAAGGUCUGCGGAUCGUAAAACUCUGUUAUUAGGGAAGAACAAAUGUGUAAGUAACUAUGCACGUCUUGACGGUACCUAAUCAGAAAGCCACGGCUAACUACGU